UGGGGAAUAUUGCACAAUGGGCGCAAGCCUGAUGCAGCCAUGCCGCGUGUGUGAAGAAGGCCUUCGGGUUGUAAAGCACUUUCAGCGAGGAGGAAGGUGGUGACUUAAUACGUCAUCAAUUGACGUUACUCGCAGAAGAAGCACCGGCUAACUCCGUGCCAGCAGCCGCGGUAAUACGGAGGGUGCAAGCGUUAAUCGGAAUUACUGGGCGUAAAGCGCACGCAGGCGGUUUGUUAAGUCAGAUGUGAAAUCCCCGGGCUCAACCUGGGAACUGCAUUUGAAACUGGCAAGCUAGAGUCUCGUAGAGGGGGGUAGAAUUUCCAGGUGUAGCGGUGAAAUGCGUAGAGAUCUGGAGGAAUACCGGUGGCGAAGGCGGCCCCCCUGGACGAAGACUGACGCUCAGGUGCGAAA
rnacentral:rRNA from 1 species